rnacentral:rRNA from 1 species
UCAAGUUAUUAAGGGUGCAGGGCGGAUGCCUUGGCACUAGGAGCCGAUGAAGGACGUGAUAAGCUGCGAUAAGCUUCGGGGAGUUGCACGUAAACUUUGAUCCGAAGAUUUCCGAAUGAGGAAACUCACUUAGAGUAAUGUCUAAGUAUCAUUAAGUGAAUACAUAGCUUAAUGAGGGGAACUCAGGGAACUGAAACAUCUAAGUACCUGAAGGAAGAGAAAGAAAUUCGAUUCCGUAAGUAGCGGCGAGCGAACGCGGAUUAGCCCAAACCAAUAAAGUUUUCUUUAUUGGGGUUGCGGACAUAUCAUAACGGAGAGGUAUCGUAAUUGAAGAGGUUUGGAAAGACCCACCACAGAAGGUAAUAGUCCUGUAUGUUAAAUGAGAAGACUUUAGAUAUGAUCCAGAGUACCACUGGACACGUGAAACCCUGUGGGAAGCAGGAGGGACCACCCUCCAAGGCUAAAUACUACCUAGUGACCGAUAGCGUAUAGUACCGUGAGGGAAAGGUGAAAAGAACCCCGGGAGGGGAGUGAAAUAGAACCUGAAACCCUGCACUUACAAGCUGUGGAAGCACAUUUCUUGUGUGACCGCGUACUUUUUGUAGAACGGGCCAACGAGUUACGUUAAGUAGCAAGGUUAAGCACUUAAGGUGCGGAGCCGUAGCGAAAGCGAGUUUUAACUGAGCGUUCAGUUACUUGACGUAGACCCGAAACCGGGCGACCUACCCAUGAGCAGGAUGAAGCGAAAGUAAAAUUUCGUGGAGGUCCGAACCCACGAGCGUUGAAAAGCUCGGGGAUGACUUGUGGGUAGCGGUGAAAUUCCAAUCGAGCCCGGAGAUAGCUGGUUCUCCCCGAAAUAGCUUUAGGGCUAGCCUCAAGGUGAGAGAUACGGAGGUAGAGCACUGAAUGUCCUAGGGGGUAUUGCACCUACCGAAGACUAUCAAACUCCGAAUGCCGUCAUCUUAUACUUGGGAGUCAGACUGUGGGUGAUAAGAUUCAUAGUCGAAAGGGCAACAGCCCAGAUCGUCAGCUAAGGUCCCUAAAUGUAAGUUAAGUGGUAAAGGAUGUGGGAUUGCACAGACAACCAGGAUGUUGGCUUAGAAGCAGCCACUCAUUCAAAGAGUGCGUAAUAGCUCACUGGUCGAGUGAUCCUGCGCCGAAGAUUUCCGGGGCUAAAACUUACUACCGAAGCUACGGCAUCAGUAAUGAUGGGUAGGGGAGCUUCCCAUACGGGUUGAAGCAUGACCGUAAGGACAUGUGGACAGUAUGGGAGUGAGAAUGUUGGCAUGAGUAGCGAGAUGUGGGUGAGAAUCCCACAGGCCGUAAACCCAAGGUUUCCAGGGGAAGGUUCGUCCGCCCUGGGUUAGUCGGGACCUAAGCUGAGGCCGAAAGGCGUAGGUGAUGGACAACAGGUUGAUAUUCCUGUACUACCGAUAACCGUUUGAGAGANGGGAUGACACAGUAGGAUAAGCUAAGCACACUGUUGGUUAUGUGUGCCCAAGCAUUGAGGCAGUCAAAGUAGGCAAAUCCGCUUUGAUAAUGCUGGGAUGUGAUGGGGAGCGAAAUUUAGUAGCGAAGUAGCUGAUUUCACACUGUCAAGAAAAGUCUCUAUCGAGGUUAAAGGUACCCGUACCGCAAACCGACACAGGUGGGUGAGGAGAGUAUCCUAAGGCCAGCGAGAGAACUGUUGUUAAGGAACUCGGCAAAAUGACCCCGUAACUUAGGGAUAAGGGGUGCCACCAUCAGGUGGCCGCAGAGAAUAGGCCCAAGCGACUGUUUACCAAAAACAUAGGUUUCUGCUAAGUCGCAAGAUGAUGUAUAGGAGCUGACGCCUGCCCGGUGCUGGAAGGUUAAGGGGAUCUGUUAGAGCAAUCGAAGCAGUGAACUUAAGCCCCAGUAAACGGCGGCCGUAACUAUAACGGUCCUAAGGUAGCGAAAUUCCUUGUCGGGUAAGUUCCGACCCGCACGAAAGGCGUAACGAUUUGGGCACUGUCUCAACAACAGACUCGGUGAAAUUGUAAUUCCGGUGAAGAUGCCGGAUACCUGCGACAGGACGGAAAGACCCCAUGGAGCUUUACUGUAGCUUGACAUUGGGUCUUGGUACUACAUGUACAGGAUAGGUGGGAGGCUUUGAAACCAGGACGCCAGUUUUGGCGGAGCCAUCCUUGGGAUACCACCCUUGUAGUACUGGGACUCUAACCAUAGGCCAUGAAUCUGGUCUUGGGACACUGUCAGGUGGGCAGUUUGACUGGGGCGG